GUGUUAUCUGACUCUGCUAGCGUUAUCUGACUCUGCUAGCGUUAUCUGACUCUGCUAGCGUUAUCUGACUCUGCUAGCGCCUCAAACGUGUUACUCAGCUGGAGAGGCUGGAGAGGCUGGGUUCUGCGGGGAGGCAGAUGCUGAUUCUCCUGCUUUCUCCUGGACAGCAGUCCAUGGUUCCAUGUUGGAGGGUGUGGGACUGGAGCAGACCAUGGUCUUGGGUUGAGCACCAAGUUUGAGCCUGAUGGGAUAUGGGGAAAAGUGGCAUCAGCCAACUGCAUGGAGGAGGCUAUCUCAGCGUUUGAGUCAAUAAGCUGUUCACUUUCCUUUAUUUCCUAAAGUGUUGGGAUCCUGCAUUCAGUCAGUCAGUGCAGCCUGUGGAAGGGGAAACAGUGCUCAGAGCAUCCAGCCUGUCAGCACCUGAAGGAUCCAACUUACCAAGAAGUAAUCCGACUGAAUCAACGUAAGCCAUCAUGGGAAACAGGGCAAGUAUCCUGGAUGGGCAUGGCUACUACGAGGCUAAAGAAAUUGGCAAGGGAGCUUCUGGUAAAGUUUUCAGAGUGAAGAAAAAGGCAGAUGAAAAGGAAUAUGUC